GCCCGUGUGGCGGAAUGGUAGACGCGAUAGACUCAAAAUCUGUUACUCAUUCGGGUGUGGGGGUUCAAGUCCCUCCACGGGCACCA
rnacentral:tRNA from 1 species